rnacentral:rRNA from 1 species
UACAUUGAUGAGAAAAAAUCAUAUGAUGGCAUUGAGCGGAUGCCUUGGUAGGGAAGAACAGGACGUUUAACGCAACGAAACGCCGCGGAAGAGGCGCGUAUAACCCAGUGAUCCGCGGAUUUCCUUUGCAUUAGCGAGUAAUAUACUCGUUGAUGGGAAACCAAAAAUGCAUAACCACCCAGUGAAUUGAAACAUCUUAAUAACUGGAGGAAUUAUAAUCAACCGAGACUCCGCCAGUAGUGGUGAGCGAAAGCGGAGAUGCCAAUAACAGAGUCAGGCUGCACACAAUUAGCGGUCACGUACUACGUGUGCAUGGAAUGCCCUCGACUUGGUCGAGCCUGGCCAAUGAAAAAUGCAAGCAUCUAAAGAGUAUGGAAGCUCUGCCCCAGAGGGUGAAAGCCCCGUUGAUUCUUGUAUUUAUAGCCCCCUGGAAGGUUACCUACAGCGGUGACACUCGGCUUGUUUGACUUUCUGGUCAGCGGAGCCUAUCCAAGGGUGUUUAGUUAUAGUAAAGCGAGAAUCAACCUUGCUAGAACUAGGGGGACCACCCCCUAAGGCAGACGGUAUGCUUCUCUAACCGAUAGUGAACUAGUACCGUGAGGGAAAGGUGAAAAGAACCCGACCCGGGAGUGAAAAGAACCUGAAACUUGAUGCCUACAAGCAGUUAGAGCUCUGCAUAUUCAGUUGAUUUCUUAUCCAUCAGCUUGGCUGUUGUACCGCUUCGCCUUUGCGCUGCUUCCGCUUUUUCAAAGCGGACAAAGCGCGCGGCGCCUUGGAAGCAACCCCGUAGGGAUUGCACACGAGGAUUUACCGCGGAAAAGCGGUGCAGGAUAAUCAAGCAGAGUGAUAGCGUACCUUUUGCAUAAUGGGUCAGCGAGUUAAUUUAUGCAGCGUGCUUAAACCGUUAGGUGUAGGCCAAGAUAACCCCGAGUCCGAUCAAGGCGAGGUUGUAUAAAUUAGACCCGAAACCGAGUGAUCUAGCUAUGAAUAGGUUGAAAAAAUGGUAACACAUUUUGGAAGACCGAACUCACGUCUGUGGCAAUAGGCGGAGAUGAGUUGUUGCUAGGGGUGAAAGGCCAAUCAAACUCGGAGAUAGCUGGUUUUUUGCGAAAUCUAUUGAGGUAGAGCGUAGCACACUCUUUCGAGGGGGUAGAGCACUCGAUGGGCUAGGGUGGCCCAAAGCCUGACCAAUCCCAAGGAAACUCCGAAUACCUCGAUUAGGCGCAGCUCUAGCGCCUAGAAUGCAGUGUUGCAGACAGACUCGGGGCGCUAAGGUUCCGAGUCGAAAGGGAAAAAGCCCAGAUCAUCCGCUAAGGUCCUUAAGCAAUGCUUCAACUGAGUGUUAAAGGAUGUGAUAGAGCGAAAACAACCAGGAAGUGGGCUUGGAAGCAGCCAACUUUUAAAGAAAGCGUAAUAGCUCACUGGUCUAGCUCGAUUGCGCCUAAGAUGUAUCGGGGCUCAAGUCAUUCACCGAAGCGAUGAUAUUUGAAAAAGUCUAAGGACCUUAUCAAAUAGGUAGCAAAACGUUCUGUUGAUCUACGACGGAAAAUCGAAAGACUUUCUAAAGACAUCAGAAGUGAGAAUGCUGACAUGAGUAACGUCAAAUCAUGAUAGAUUCAUGAUCGCCGAAAGCUCUCGGUUUUCCGCGCACCGUAAAACGGCGCGGAUUCAAUCGGCCCCUAAAAGAAUGACCGAAAGGUCAUGUUGAUGGGAACAUAGAAGCUCUAGAUGUAUUUUCAGCCACGGAAGCUCGUGUAUCUAACAAAAAGAAUGGGAUGCUUUUUAAGAACCACGACUUUCCAGGAAAUAACUGGAAUAAGUCACCCGAAGGGUGACGGGGUCGAUAAGCGACCUACACCGUACUUAAACCGACACUGGUGAGCUGGUUGAGUAUACUAAGGCGAUGAGCUAACCAUGUUGAAGGAACUCGGCAAAAUGCCUCCGUAACUUCGGGAGAAGGAGGACCUCACAUCUGAAAGGAUGCGAGGUGGCACAGAAUCGGGAGCGACGACAGUUUAUUAAAAACCCAGGACUCUGCAAAGUGGUAACACGAAGUAUUGGGUCUGACACCUGCCCGGUGCUGGACACUUAACAGGACUUGUGAAUUGGUUAGACUGAAAAGAUGACCAAGGAGCUUGGACCUAGAAGGCCCAGUAAACGGCGGCCGUAACCCUAACGGUCCUAAGGUAGCAAAAUUCCUAGGCGCAUAAUUGGCGUCCCGCAUGAAUGGUGCAACGAUCGUUCCGCUGUCUCCAACAUGGACUCAGUGAAAUUGAAUUCUCCGUGAAGAUGCGGAGUACCUGGAAGUAGACGGUAAGACCCCGUGCACCUUGACUAUAACCUUGCACUGAACAAACUUUUUGAAUGUGUAGUAUAGGUGGGAGCUCAAAGCAACUAAGCUCUUGCGCCCGCUUAAAGGUGCUGAGAGCCCAUUGCUCUCAGCAACAGUGAAAGACCACUCUUUCAAUAAGAUUUGUUCUCACCCCGCUUAGGGGGACAGUGCAAGGCGGGUAGUUUCUCUGGGGCGGAGGCUUCCUAAAGAGUAACGGGAGCGUGCGAAGGUAAGCUCAAGCUGGUCGGAAAUCAGCUGUAGAGCGCAACAGUAUAAGCUUGCCUGACUGUGAGACCUACAAGUCGAGCAGAAACGAAAGUUGGCUGUAGUGACCCACAAACACUGUGUGGAAGGGUUUGUGAUCAACGGAUCAAAGGUACGCCGGGGAUAACAGGCUGAUGGUUCCCAAGAGUCCAUAUCGACGGAACCGUUUGGCACCUCGAUGUUGCCUCAUCGCAACCUGGUGCUGCAGAAGGUACCAAGGGUAGGACUGUUCGUCCUUUAAAGCGGUACGUGAGGUGAGUUUAGAACGACGUGAGUCAGUUCGGUUCCUAUCUUUUCCAGGUGUGAGAGACUGAGAGCAAGCGCUCUGUCGUACGAAAGGAAUCAGAGUGCCGAACCUCUGGUCUACCAGUUGUUCUGCCAAGGGCACCGCUGGGUAGCUAAGUUCGAAGCAAUAAUCGCUGAAAGCAUCUAAGCGAGAAGUGCGCCUCAAAACAAGUCUCGAGACUCGCGCAAGACUAGCGCGUUGAUAGGCAGCAUGUGUAAGCCGUGUAAACGGUUCAGCUGAGCUGUACUAAUGUCAAACAUUACAUAGCG